rnacentral:tRNA from 2 species
GCGCCCAUAGCUCAGCUGGAUAGAGCGUUGGACUACGAAUCCAAAGGUCGCAAGUUCGAGUCUUGCUGGGCGCA